CCCACCUGAAGCAAGACCGAAUAGGGAGACAUAUGGGGCGGCCCGUCCCGUCUCCGGGUGCGUCGCUUGAGCCUGUCUGGUAACAGCAGGCCUAGAUAGAUGACUGUCAAAUACAGAACUCGGCUUACAGACUUGCUCAUAGA
rnacentral:RNase_P_RNA from 1 species